UACGUAGGGGCUAGCGUUGUCCGGAAUCAUUGGCGUAAAGCGCGUGUAGGCGGCCCGGUAAGUCCGCUGUGAAAGUCGGGGGCUCAACCCUCGGAUGCCGGUGGAUACUGUCGGGCUCGAGUACGGAAGAGGCGAGUGGAAUUCCUGGUGUAGCGGUGAAAUGCGCAGAGUAUCAGGAGGAACACCAAUUGCGAAGGCAGCUCGCUGGGACGUUACUGACGCUGAGACGCGAAAGCGUGGGGAGCAAACAGG
rnacentral:rRNA from 1 species